CUAACUCCAGCGACGUGCAAGUUCCUCCUGCUUCUGUGAGGUGUAGCCAUCUGAAGUAGGAAUCGAUCCGAUACACAAGGUCAUGGCUGUGCGCAUGAUUCGUGGGAUAGAGGACGUAGUGGCCUCUAGCAGCCAGCUCCUUUGGACCGUGGCACAUGAGACCUUGAGGAAGUGGUACAACCGGGCGCUGUUGCCAUGCCAACACUUUCUUGUGGCCUGGUUUAGGAUUGGACAUGGCUACCAGAUGACUGAGGGGCGUCAGUGCCGGGUACACCUACUUGACGGUCGGAAGUUGGAGCUGCUGGUUCAGCCAAAGCUUUUAUCACGAGACCUGCUAGAUUUGGUGGCAUCCCAUUUUAACCUGAAGGAGAAGGAAUACUUUGGCCUUUGCUUCAUAGAUGACACUGGUCAGAAUAACUGGCUUCAGCUUGACCGAAAAGUCCUUGAUCAUGACUUUUCCAAGACUUCAGAUACACUGGAAAUCAAAUUCUUAGUGAGAUUUUACAUUGAGAAGAUCACCUUUUUAAAAGAAAACACGACUGUGGAGCUGUUCUUCUUGAAUGCAAAAUCCCUGGUGUUUAAUGAGGACAUCGAAGUGGAGAGCGAACACAUUUUCAAGUUGGCUGCAUUCGCAUUACAAGAGGUCAGCGGCGAUUACACAUGUACCGAAACGGCCAAAUCAAACCUGAAGCAUCUCCCAGUUCUGCCCACCCAAGUUCUCAGGAAACACCCGUCUCUCAGUUACUGUGAGGACAAAGUGAUUGAACAUUACAAGAAAUUGAAGGGACUGACCAGAGGACAGGCCAUUGUGAAGUAUCUGACCCUGGUUGAGUCACUGCCAACAUACGGAGUCCAUUAUUAUCCAGUAAAGGACAAGCAGGGAAUACCCUGGUGGCUCGGUGUCAGCUACAAAGGUGUUGGCCAGUACGACUUACAAGACAAGCUGAAACCAAGAAAGUUGUUCUCGUGGAAGCAGUUAGAGAAUUUAUAUUUCCGAGAGAAGAAAUUUGCCGUGGAAGUAAACGACCCCCACAGUCAAACGGUGAACAAGCGGACCUUUGGACAGUCUGGCCUUGUCAUUCACUCCUGGUAUGCCAGUCAUUCUCUAAUUAAAACUAUCUGGGCGAUGGCCAUCAGUCAACACCAGUUCUAUCUGGACCGAAAGCAAAGUCGAUCAAAUAUGAGCACAACAAGAAGCUCGGGAGACAUCGCCGUAGAUCUCACAGAAAUCAGCACCCAGCGGAUCGGUAAAUUUCCAGGUCCCGCAAGCAAAGAUCAGCUCAUCAUGGCAAGUAGUGGAAGCCUCAUCUCAGCCGGUUCUGCCGACUCUGACGUCGGCGAUGAGCAGAGGAAAGAAAAGAUUAGCGAGUUGAAAACAAAAGAGAAAAAACUUCAGGACGCACUCAAACAGAAAAUUGAGGAACUGAAGAAGAUCUGCAUGCGAGAAGCGGAAAUUACCGGCAGAUUACCAAAAGACUAUCCGUUGGUUUCUGGCGAAAAGACUCCUCAAGUUCGAAGACGUGUCGGCGCAGCAUUCAAGCUUGACGACCUUUUCCCCUAUGAUGAGGACCCCCAUUUGAGGAAUCUGGAAAGGAGAUUCGCCUUGCAGCAGAAGUUCGUGGAAGCAGCCAUGAAGUUAACCAAUGAGAUGGAUCUGAGUAAGACAGUGAAGAAAAAGAGAAAGAAUAACUGCUUGGACGCAAUGAGAAAACUGGAGGAGAUCGAGGGGGAGAUCAACGCCUACAGGAUCUGGAAAGGAAAGAAUCCCACCCAAAGAGCUUCGCUGAUCUUAGCAGACGAUGUCAACCCAUCAGACCUCAGCUCUCAGUCCGACAGCUUCACGCUGGAUGAAGAUGACGAGCUCAGCGCCCACAGGCAGCGCUCAAGUUCGCUCCAGUACUCCCCGAGAUCCCACCAUGCAGAGACACUCAGUAUCUACUCCGGCAAUGAGCGACGAGUUUCGGCUAAUGACCAACACACAGACGGAAGAUCGAAUUACGGUCAAAUUCAGGAACCACUCUACCGCAGUCACCACAAUGCCUUAACAAACCACAACAGUCCACACAAAUCAGGUUCCAGAGAGCCUCGCGACGCCCGCAGUAUGCCUCCCACGCCGCUGCUCACGCGCAACGCUUACAGCAGCACCCAACUCAAAUCAGAGGACGCGCCGCAGCUUUUUCGCCAACGCAGCGGGAGUCUGGAGUCCCAGUCGAAGUUUGCACUAGAGCCCGAAGCACGCGUGCCCGCGUUCAACUUGUCCCCGCCCCGACGCAGCAACAGCACCGAGGUACUCGACGACGGCUCGUCCUACACCAGCCAGUCCAGCGUGGAGUACACGGUCCCCGGCAACCCCAACCACCGACGGAGAGUGCGUGGCCGCCACAGGAAAGAUAUUUACGCCAACACGGGUAGCAUGCCCAAUUUGGCGCAGCCGGAUGUCCACAGUCACGCCUACCAGGGCCGCGCUCGACCCACCACUACGACCUUCUACAUCACGGGAUAUCCUCACCACGCGGAGCCAGAGAUUUACCCCAAUGGCGUCUAUAUGUACGACAAUGAGACGGAGGGACACUACAGCGUCAAUCCGCCAUUCCAUCCUCCCCACGCAGCCUAUCGUCCCCGCGAUAUGCACGAUCGCUACGGCAACGACGAGCUAGACGGCACGUCGCAGAACGUGUACGCGACGCUUCGGCCGCCCAGGAACCGCCCGGCUCCCCGCGGCGAAGAGCAGAUCUCGAGGAACUUUAAGAAGGCGGUUGUGGCCGAGCACUUGAGAGGCUGGUACCAUCGCAACACGGCCUACAAGCAGGCGGCUUACGGCUCCGAAUACGACCAACACAGUCUGAGCUACCAAACCAUGGGUGCACCGCUCAGCCACAGCAACAGGAGCCUCUCCUACUCAUCAGCCUCCUCCAAUGGAAACUGGCACGGCCAUAUCGGCGGUCACGGACGAGUCGAUUGUGACAUGCCCAAGCAGAUGCCGCAGACCUACACCUACACCACAGCUCCCUUUGGCCGCCCAACCCACAGCAGCCUUGAUGGUCGGGGACGCUGUGUUUUUUCUUCCACAAGACCUUCCUCUUCAUUUUCCCCCUCCUGCCUUCCCUCCUCUUCCUUCUCCCCUGGCUGGUGAUCUGCAGCCCAGAGGAGGUUCAGAGCCUCCUCCGCAGGGUACAGGCCCGGUAAAGUGCACCUCGCAAAAGAUCUUACCUAGAUGUCAACCAAGUGGACAUCAGCAACCAUUCGGAAACCAGCCUGGACCCGCAGGAUCGGAUACACUGGCACGAAGGCUCAACAACAGGAACAAUAGUUUAGCUGCCUGUCAUUCAAUCGUUUUGCGCAUGACAAAGGCGUCCCGGUGCCUUAGACUGCACUUACCUGUUUUUCUGAGCGAGGAGAGCCAAAGAAUGAAGGAAUUUACACGCAAAGGCCAAGUGGACCUUGUUUGUAUUGACGCCACUUGUGCACCGUUGCCGCAUUCGAAGCUGCCGUGGAACGCAGACUUCAAGUACGCAGUUUUGCUCUGAAGACAUUGAAACCGGGCAGAGUCGCGUCUCCACUGAGCCGCACCGAACAACUUUUUACCGCGUCUUCUCCUGUCACUUGCAUUCACGUUUGAACAGAACCAAUGAAGGACCAGAUGAGGAUCGACAUAACCUGAUCAAAAAUGAAGGAGCUCUUUAGCAGCCAACCGGACAAAGAUGGCUCUUUACCUGCAACACUGCACAGCCACCAGAUUAUUAUUUUUUUUUUAUUUCCGGAUGCUUUGCUUUCCGUUUUUAUUCCAUCUGUGUGACCAUGACGUUUCUAAAGUAUACUACCUUACUUUACUGUAAAAUUAAACUAAAUCAUGUGUUUUAACACCAGUAUUACUCCCAAAAUCUAACAAAGACUACUGCCACACCACUUCACAAAUAUUGAAGAGAAGAAACUAACAGAAAAAUGGCUUUUUUUAUACUUCCAUGCUGGAACUCAUGGACCGGUGCUCGUAAUUUCUCUCAAGAGAAUGUUACAUGUUUUUAUUGUUAAUACACUGGUUGUUUGUGGAGCAUCUUGUGGAUUUGAAAAGCAUGUAAUAUAUCGCAAACAUUUUGUUAAGCUGGUUCUUAGGAUUUUGUAUAAUUUCACUCGUUGGAAUAAAACAAAUCAGAUUUUGUUUGAA